UACGGAGGAGGCAAGCGUUAUCCGGAAUUAUUGGGCGUAAAGCGUCCGUAGGUGGUUUAGUAAGUCUGCUGUUAAAGCGCGGGGCUUAACUCCGUAUCGGCAGUGGAAACUACUAGACUAGAGUGUGGUAGGGGUAGAGGGAAUUCCCAGUGUAGCGGUGAAAUGCGUAGAUAUGCGGAGGAACACCGAUGGCGAAGGCAAUCCCCUGGGCCUGCACUGACGCUCAUGCACGAAAGCGUGGGGAGCAAACAGG
rnacentral:rRNA from 1 species